rnacentral:rRNA from 1 species
GACGAACGCUGGCGGCGUGCCUAAUACAUGCAAGUAGAACGCUGAAGGAGGAGCUUGCUUCUCUGGAUGAGUUGCGAACGGGUGAGUAACGCGUAGGUAACCUGCCUGGUAGCGGGGGAUAACUAUUGGAAACGAUAGCUAAUACCGCAUAAUAGUAGAUGUUGCAUGACAUUUACUUAAAAGGUGCAAUUGCAUCACUACCAGAUGGACCUGCGUUGUAUUAGCUAGUUGGUGGGGUAACGGCUCACCAAGGCGACGAUACAUAGCCGACCUGGGAGGGGGAUCGGCCACACUGGGACUGAGACACGGCCCAGACUCCUACGGGAGGCAGCAGUAGGGAAUCUUCGGCAAUGGACGAAAGUCUGACCGAGCAACGCCGCGUGAGUGAAGAAGGUUUUCGGAUCGUAAAGCUCUGUUGUAAGAGAAGAACGAGUGUGAGAGUGGAAAGUUCACACUGUGACGGUAUCUUACCAGAAAGGGACGGCUAACUACGUG